ACUUAACCCCGAUAGUAGCGGCAUCCUUUGCUUUUUUUUCAAAAGCAAAGAUAUAGCGGAUAGCGGGACUUUGU
rfam:Flavobacterium sp. LM5 Flavobacterium_sp_LM5_contig4, whole genome shotgun sequence.